GGUUUAGCGGCGGACGGGUGAGUAACACGUGGGCAACCUGCCCUGCAGAUCGGGAUAACUCCGGGAAACCGGUGCUAAUACCGAAUAGUUUGCAGCCUCUCCUGAGGCUGCACGGAAAGACGGUUUCGGCUGUCACUGCAGGAUGGGCCCGCGGCGCAUUAGCUAGUUGGUGGGGUAAUGGCCUACCAAGGCGACGAUGCGUAGCCGACCUGAGAGGGUGAUCGGCCACACUGGGACUGAGACACGGCCCAGACUCCUACGGGAGGCAGCAGUAGGGAAUCUUCCGCAAUGGACGAAAGUCUGACGGAGCAACGCCGCGUGAGUGACGAAGGUUUUCGGAUCGUAAAACUCUGUUGUGAGGGAAGAACACGUACCAGCUAACUACUGGUACCUUGACGGUACCUCACCAGAAAGCCACGGCUAACUACGUGCCAGCAGCCGCGGUAAUACGUAGGUGGCAAGCGUUGUCCGGAAUUAUUGGGCGUAAAGCGCGCGCAGGCGGUCCUUUAAGUCUGAUGUGAAAGCCCACGGCUCAACCGUGGA
rnacentral:rRNA from 1 species